rnacentral:rRNA from 1 species
CCAAUAGCGUAUAUUAAAGUUGUUGCAGUUAAAAAGCUCGUAGUUGAAUUUCGGGAUUAGUAAGUUGGUCGUGCGUCUGGUAUGUACUGGCUUUACUGGUUCCUCCUUCUUGAAGAACUGUAAUGUCAUUAAUUUGGUGUUGCAGGGAAACAGGACUGUUACUUUGAAAAAAUUAGAGUGUUUAAAGCAGGCUAACGCUUGAAUACAUUAUCAUGGAAUAAUGAAAUAGGACGUUUGAUCCUAUUUUGUUGGUUUCUAGGAUUGACGUAAUGAUUAAUAGGGAUAGUUGGGGGCAUUAGUAUUCAAUUGUCAGAGGUGAAAUUCUUGGAUUUAUUGAAGACUAACUACUGCGAAAGCAUUUGCCAAGGAUGUUUUCAUUAAUCAAGAACGAAAGUUAGGGGAUCGAAGACGAUCAGAUACCGUCGUAGUCUUAACCAUAAACUAUGCCGACUAGGGAUCGGAUGAUGUUAAUUUUUUAAUGACUCAUUCGGCGCCUUACG